CUUUCGUCAGACCCGUAGCAACGGUUUCGAAAGGAGGAGGCGGGGCAACUUUCCAAAAAAAUCUGACAAGAUAAGGGCGCCAAAUGUCAUCAUAUAAGAGCCCAAUUCAAAGUCCACUGAAGAAAUUGAGCAUCCAGAAUUUAGUGUCAUGGAUUAGAGAAACACCAGUACUUGCAAUUGCAUGAUCUUGGUUAGUGACAUCAACUCAGAAAAACAUAAAAAUCAAGACAGAAAUUAGAUACAUGCAGUUAAUAUCGGAUCCUCCCAAAUAUUGAUCUUCACAAAUGCCACUUUACCAAGGGCAUGUAAUAAAAUUCUGCUGUUUUCAUGAGGAGUUACCCAUGUCAGAAUUGUUAAAGUACAGUAUUCCCUCUGCCUGAAUAUGACUUCUGCCAGCUCUUCCUAUUUGCUUUACAGACAAUGACCUUCAAUGUUUUGUGGUGGUCCUGCAUGGAUGACUGUUUUAACAUGUCUCAAGUCUGCCCCCAUUCCUAGAGCAAUGGUGGAGAUCACAGCUCGUAAUGGAGUUUCAUUUGGGUGUUUGGAGAUGUUUUUGUAGAUCAUACCUUUGGUCUACAUUUAUUGAAAUAUUUAUUAUGUUUAUAAUUAUCAAUUUAUUUUUAAACUGUCAUAAUGAAAUUAUACUAUAAUUAACGUUAUAUCAGUGAAUUUGAAACUCAUAUGUAAUAUUUGAUAAUGUUUAAAAAACAUUUAAGUGUCACUGAACAUAAAUUAGGAACAAAGAAUUUGAACAUACCUCCUCAUCUCUACCAAUUGAUGAGUGAAACAUUACUACUCUUGCAUGCAUGUUCAAUAUUUCUUACUCCAUCAAACAUAUCAUCUCCAAGUAUGCACUGUGCAACCUGUGUAUAAUUUUGAUUAAGAAUCAUUUAUUUUUAUUAUUGUGACAGUAAUUUGUGAAGAAAUCGACUUAAUGGCAUGAAAAAAUUGA